CUUAUGCCGGCGACCGGCGGACGGGUGCGUAACGCGUAUGUAACCUACCUUUGACCGGGGGAUAACAUCGAGAAAUUGGUACUAAUACCCCAUAACAUCACCGGAGGCAUCUUCGGUGGUUGAAAACUCAGGUGGUCAGAGAUGGACAUGCGUUGUAUUAGCUAGUUGGUGAGGUAACGGCUCACCAAGGCGACGAUACAUAGGGGGACUGAGAGGUCAACCCCCCACAUUGGUACUGAGACACGGACCAAACUCCUACGGGAGGCAGCAG
rnacentral:rRNA from 1 species